UACGUAGGGGGCGAGCGUUGUCCGAAGUUACUGGGCGUAAAGCGCGCGUAGGCGGCCUGCUAAGUCUGGUGUGAAAGGUCCAGGGCUCAACCCGGACAGUGCACUGGAUACUGGCAGGCUUGAGUGAGGCAGAGGAGAGUGGAAUUCCUGGUGUAGCGGUGAAAUGCGUAGAUAUCAGGAGGAACACCGAUGGCGAAGGCAGCUUUCUGGGCCUUUACUGACGCUGAGGUGCGAAAGCGUGGGGAGCGAACGGG
rnacentral:rRNA from 1 species